UGAUCUUGAGCUUGUUAGGGUGCUCC
rnacentral:misc_RNA from 1 species